rnacentral:rRNA from 1 species
UACAGAGGGUGCAAGCGUUGUUCGGAAUUACUGGGCGUAAAGGGCGCGUAGGCGGCCUACUAAGUCGGACGUGAAAUCCCUCGGCUCAACCGGGGAACUGCUUCCGAUACUGGUGGGCUUGAAUCCGGGAGAGGGAUGUGGAAUUCCAGGUGUAGCGGUGAAAUGCGUAGAUAUCUGGAGGAACACCGGUGGCGAAGGCGGCAUCCUGGACCGGUAUUGACGCUGAGGCGCGAAAGCCAGGGGAGCAAACGGG